UUUUUAUUCUGAAACUUCAGGAUGUUGGUGGUUACACACACACGAAAAAGAAAUCCAGUUUCACAUACAUUCAUACUCACUGCUUGGCAUAGAGAAGCAGGAUCUCAGGAUUCAGUGCUUGCUUGGGGACCUCGGGAUUCAUUGCUGUCGGGAUUCACUGCUUGCUUGGGAACCUUGGGAUUCAGUGCUGGCUUGGCAUAGAUAAACAGGCUUUCGGGUUUCACUGCUUGCUUGGCAUAGAGUAAGGGGGCUUCGGGAUUCCCUGUUUGCUUGGCAUAGAAUAAGGGUAAGGGGGCUUCGGGAUUCCCUGUUUGCUUGGCAUAGAAUAAGGGGGCUUCGGGAUUCACUGCUUGCUUGGGGUGGGAUUCAUUGCUGGCUUGGCAUAAAAAAACAGGCUUUCGGGAUUCACUGCUUGCUUGGGACCUUGGGAUUCAUUGCUGUCUUGCAUAAAAAACAGGCUUUCGGGAUUCACUGCUUGCUUGGCAUAGAGUAAAGGGGCUUCGGGAUUCACUGCUUGCUUGGCAUAGAAUAACGGGGCUUCGGGA
rnacentral:lncRNA from 1 species